rnacentral:rRNA from 1 species
UACGUAGGUGGCAAGCGUUGUCCGGAUUUACUGGGCGUAAAGAGCGCGCAGGCGGUCGUUCAAGUCGCGUGUGAAAGCCCCCGGCUCAACUGGGGAGGGUCACGCGAUACUGAUCGACUCGAAGGCAGGAGAGGGUAGUGGAAUUCCCGGUGUAGUGGUGAAAUUCGUAGAUAUUCGCAAGAACACCAGUGGCGAAGGCGGCUCACUGGCCCGUUACUGACGCUGAGGCACGAAAGCGUGGGGAGCAAACAGG